CAUGUACAGAGGGAAGAGGAUGUGAAGAUACACAGAAAAUGACAUCCACAACCCAAGGAACACCUGGAGCUACCAAAAGCUAGAAGAGAGGCCUGGAACAGAUGCUCCCUCAGAGGCUGCAGAAAAACCAACUCUACCGACACCUCGAUAUUGGCAUUCCAGCCUCCCGAACUGUGAGACAAUCCCUGUCUGUUGUUGAAGGUGCCCAACCUGGGGUACUUUGUUAUGGCAGCCCAAGGAAAUGAACACAAGUGCUGAGUUCUUUCAGUCCUAGGCUCUUACAAAUGCUGUUUCUUGGCCCGGAACACUCCGCUGUCCCUGCCCCUUCACCUGGCUAACUCCUCAGCCUGGAUAGCACCUUUUCGACAGAAGUCCCUUGUCACUCAUUCCCAUGACACUGCAUGGGUCUCAUGUUGUUCCCUGCACUCUCCCAUGUAAUUCCCUGCUAUGUGCCUGUCUCCCAUCUGGACUGUGAGCUCCCGAAGGUCAGCACCUGGCACAGUUGGCAGCCAGUAAAUACCCGAGCUAGUCAAGGAUUGAGCUGAGCUUCCUAUGAGAAUCAAAUGAGAGAGCAAUUGUGAACGUGCUGCACGAGCCAUGAGGCCCCAGGCACAGGGGCUGGGUUUUAAUUAUUGGUGUCUGUACUGUAUAUGUGGUGAUGCACGAUGGUUGCACUUCUACAAGGCAUUGAAUGUUAAAGUUGUCUACAUGUUUCCCUGGCAAACAGGAAAGAAUGUGCAUUUGGGUCUUCAGAUCUUUGCAUUUGGAGCUGCCCUGCCUAUGCUUCCAGCUUUCCUGCCCUCCACCUUGGAAUCCAGCCUUGAGCCCUGAAAGGGGCUCAGAAGGAGGAAGCUGUUAGCAUGGAAGGUGCUAGCACCAUUGUAGGGCAAGAAAAGCAGGCGCCAAUGGCAGGCGCAGCCUUGAUUGACACCAGGGAAAGUCCAGAAGGGCUCUCCAUCUGGCUGCCCAUUUAGAAACUUGACCUCUUUGCAAGCAAUAAGCAUCUGGGGUCCAUUAAAAUGCAAGUCACCUGCUGGAUGUCUGAGAAAGAAUCUGCUAGUGAGAAAUUAACCUCUUUGGGGGCACUGCAGGCUCCAUCUGCAGGUGAUAGGAGUGUGUACUACAGUAGCCAAUAGUCACCCUUUCUCAGACUCUAGCCUAAGGCCACGUGGCUCAUCAGAGGCGAUUGUGUUCCCUGUCUGUGCCUCAGUCUCUUCAACUGCAAAUGGGACAUUAACCUCUUCUGAGUCCACCCACAGACUUGCUUGCUGGGAGAAGUGGGGGAAAAUGAGAGUCUGAAUGGGUUUUAUGGGCUAAAAUGCACUUUAUAGAUUUAGAAGAUUGUUAUCCUAUUCCUAGUAAGUAUUCAUUACUAAACUCAAAUUUCACUGUUCUAUUUCUAAAUCUACCUGAGCCUCCAAGUAUCUCAUCCUCACAGCCUCAUGCCAUGGGCAUGCCUCUUCAAAAGAGAGCAUGGAUCUACCUUGUAGAAAAAACCUGCCCUUGAAUUAAUUCCAUUCCACAGGCAUUGGUUGAACAACUGUUAAUGUGGAUAUACAAAGAGGGGAUAACAGAUCAUGCUCUGGAGCAGCUGAUGCCCCUUUG
rnacentral:lncRNA from 10 species